UACGGGGGGAGCAAGCGUUGUUCGGAUUUACUGGGCGUAAAGGGCGCGUGGGCGGCCACCGCAAGUCGACUGUGAAAUCUCCGGGCUUAACCCGGAAAGGUCAGCCGAUACUGCGGGGCUAGAGUGCAGAGGGGGCAACUGGAAUUCCCGGUGUAGUGGUGGAAUGCGUAGAUAUCGGGAGGAACACCAGUGGCGAAGGCGGCUUCCUGGACCUGUUCUGACACUGAGGAGCGAAAGCGUGGGGAGCGAUCCGG
rnacentral:rRNA from 1 species